UCUUGGAGAAAUUGUCACCAUUUGCCCGCUGACAUUUUGAGGAGCUUUCCAAAUCAUUUGUCCUUCGAAGUCUCGGUUCUGUCGAGAUCAUGUUGAUCACGCCCGCUAUAGGUUGAGUGUGAGUUUCUUCAUCAGGAUGCAGCUGUGGUUGAGGAUCACCAGGCAGCUGCACAGGUCAGUCUCGCAUGUACUUUUUGUG
rnacentral:lncRNA from 1 species